GACGAACGCUGGCGGCGUGCUUAACACAUGCAAGUCGAACGGAAAGGCCCUGCUUUUGUGGGGUGCUCGAGCGGCGAACGGGUGAGUAACACGUGAGUAACCUGCCCUUGACUUUGGGAUAACUUCAGGAAACUGGGGCUAAUACCGGAUAGGAGCUCCUGCGGCAUGGGGGGGGUUGGAAAGUUUCGGCGGUUGGGGAUGGACUCGCGGCUUGUCAGCUUGUUGGUGGGGUAGUGGCUUACCAAGGCUUUGACGGGUAGCCGGCCUGAGAGGGUGACCGGCCACAUUGGGACUGAGAUACGGCCCAGACUCCUACGGGAGGCAGCAGUGGGGAAUAUUGCACAAUGGGCGGAAGCCUGAUGCAGCAACGCCGCGUGCGGGAUGACGGCCUUCGGGUUGUAAACCGCUUUCGCCUGUGACGAAGCGUGAGUGACGGUAAUGGGUAAAGAAGCACCGGCUAACUACGUG
rnacentral:rRNA from 1 species